UAAUAUUCUGUAUAAAUCAAACCAAAGAACUGUAUAAGAAAGAUGUAGUAUUCUGUAUAAAACAAACCAACGAACUGUAUGACAAGGAUGAUGUAGUAUU